AAUGAACGUUGGCGGCGUGGAUUAGGCAUGCAAGUCGUGCGGAAAGGCUCCUUCGGGAGUACUCGAGCGGCGUAAGGGAGAGUAACGCGUGGAUAUCUACCCCCUGGACUGGGAUAGCGGCGGGAAACUGCCGGUAAUACCAGAUAAUGUCUGCGAACCAAAGGUGUGAUUCCGCCGGGGGAUGAGUUCGCGUCCUAUUAGCUAGUUGGUAGGGUAAUGGCCUACCAAGGCAAAGAUGGGUACCGGGUGUGAGAGCAUGGCCCGGCUCACUGGGACUGAGACACUGCCCAGACACCUACGGGUGGCUGCAGUCGAGAAUCUUCGGCAAUGGGCGCAAGCCUGACCGAGCGACGCCGCGUGCGGGAUGAAGGCCUUCGGGUUGUAAACCGCUGUCAGAGGGGAGGAAAUGCGUGGGAGUUCUCUCUCACGUUUGACCUAUCCUCAGAGGAAGUACGGGCUAAGUUCGUGCCAGCAGCCGCGGUAAUAC
rnacentral:rRNA from 1 species